rnacentral:rRNA from 1 species
AUUGAACGCUGGCGGCAGGCCUAACACAUGCAAGUCGAACGAGUGGCGGACGGGUGAGUAAUGUCUGGGAAUCUGCCUGAUGGAGGGGGAUAACUACUGGAAACGGUAGCUAAUACCGCAUACCAUCAGAUGUGCCCAGAUGGGAUUAGCUAGUAGGUGGGGUAAAGGCUCAACUAGGCGACGAUCCCUAGCUGGUCUGAGAGGAUGACGAGCCACACUGGGACGGAGACACGGCCCAGACUCCUACGGGAGGCAGCAGUGGGGAAUAUUGCACAAUGGGCGCAAGCCUGAUGCAGCCAUGCCGCGUGUAUGAAGAAGGCCUUCGGGUUGUAAAGUACUUUCAGCCGGGAGGCGUUACCCACAGAAGAAGCACCGGCUAACUCCGUGCCAGCAGCCGCGGUAAUAC